CCUUAUGGUUGUAAAGCACUUUAAGCGAGGAGGAGGCUACUUUAGUUAAUACCUAGAGAUAGUGGACGUUACUCGCAGAAUAAGCACCGGCUAACUCUGUGCCAGCAGCCGCGGUAAUACAGAGGGUGCAAGCGUUAAUCGGAUUUACUGGGCGUAAAGCGCGCGUAGGCGGCUAAUUAAGUCAAAUGUGAAAUCCCCGAGCUUAACUUGGGAAUUGCAUUCGAUACUGGUUAGCUAGAGUGUGGGAGAGGAUGGUAGAAUUCCAGGUGUAGCGGUGAAAUGCGUAGAGAUCUGGAGGAAUACCGAUGGCGAAGGCAGCCAUCUGGCCUAACACUGACGCUGAGGUGCGAAAGCAUGGGGAGCAAACAGGAUUAGAUACCCUGGUAGUCCAUGCCGUAAACGAUGUCUACUAGCCGUUGGGGCCUUUGAGGCUUUAGUGGCGCAGCUAACGCGAUAAGUAGACCGCCUGGGGAGUACGGUCGCAAGACUAAAACUCAAAUGAAUUGACGGGGGCCCGCACAAGCGGUGGAGCAUGUGGUUUAAUUCGAUGCAACGCGAAGAACCUUACCUGGCCUUGACAUAGUAAGAACUUUCCAGAGAUGGAUUGGUGCCUUCGGGAACUUACAUACAGGUGCUGCAUGGCUGUCGUCAGCUCGUGUCGUGAGAUGUUGGGUUAAGUCCCGCAACGAGCGCAACCCUUUUCCUUAUUUGCCAGCGAGUAAUGUCGGGAACUUUAAGGAUACUGCCAGUGACAAACUGGAGGAAGGCGGGGACGACGUCAAGUCAUCAUGGCCCUUACGGCCAGGGCUACACACGUGCUACAAUGGUCGGUACAAAGGGUUGCUACCUAGCGAUAGGAUGCUAAUCUCAAAAAGCCGAUCGUAGUCCGGAUUGGAGUCUGCAACUCGACUCCAUGAAGUCGGAAUCGCUAGUAAUCGCGGAUCAGAAUGCCGCGGUGAAUACGUUCCCGGGCCUUGUACACACCGCCCGUCACACCAUGGGAGUUUGUUGCACCAGAAGUAGCUAGCCUAACUGCAAAGAGGGCGG
rnacentral:rRNA from 1 species